GAACGGACUAUACAAUUGAGUAAUCGAGCGUAUAGUUAGUGGCGUAAGGGUUAGUAAUGAAUAGGUAACGUACCCUGUACAUCAGGAUAGCGUCUAGGUGCUUGCACCUUUCCGAAAGGGGCGGUAAUACUGAAUGAUGUCAACUGUCGAUGGACAUUUGACCAAAAGAUUUAUCGGUAUGGGAGCGGCCUAUUUCCUAUCAGCUUGUUGGCGAGGUAACGGCUCACCAAGGCUAAGACGGGUAGCGGGACUGAGAGGUUGACCCGCAACAUCGGGACUGAGACACUGCCCGGACCUCCACGGAGGGCUGCAGUAACGAAUAUUGCGCAAUGAGCGAAAGCUUGACGCAGCGACGCCGCGUGUAGGAUGAAGUCUUUCGGGAUGUAAACUACUGUCAGGGAUACGAAAGUCUGCUUCGGCAGAUUGAUCUACCCCAGAGGAAGUCACGGCUAACUUCGUGCCAGCAGCCGCGGUAAGACGAAGGUGGCAAGCGUUGUUCGGUAUUACUGGGCUUAAAGCGUGUGUAGGCGGAAUUGUAAGCGUUUUGUGAAAUCCCUCGGCUUAACCGAGGAAUUGCUCGACGAACUGCUUUUCUUGAGGCAAGUAGGGGUGCACGGAACUCUUGGUGGAGCGGUGGAAU
rnacentral:rRNA from 1 species